AAUAAAUACAAGAAUCUACAGGUCGAGCAAGUCUCGUAAAUUUCACGAUUGCGAGCCACGCUUCACGCAACCGUGUUUGCGUACUUGUGUUUCGAGUUGCGUGGUCGUGCGGAGUUAUAUUUACCAAAUUUAAAUGUAAUCGUUUCUACUGAUAAUAAUAUAUUUACUAUUCUCAAUAUGGCUACUGGGUGUAAAAGAUAAAUCUUAUUCUAUCUGUUCUUCAUGAGUUUUAGAUAAUUUUAGUUGUAUUUCUUUGUAAUUUUGUGUUGUACAAAGAUUAAUUUAAUAUUUUCUCUGGAAGUAUUAAUUUAGAAAGAUAAUAUGCUUCAUUGGUGUUGUGUUUUGAAGUGUGAAAUGCAAAGUAAUUGUGAUAAAGUCGAGAUAAAGUUCACUUUUAAACUGAACUAAAUAAGGUAUCUGAGAGACAACAAUGGUUAAAUGCAAUACAAUGUACAGGUUUUACUAGCGAAAUGAAAAUUUUCCUGUCCUGUCUGCUGUAAUCAUUUUAUAUCUGGAAAAUAGGAAAACCAGCCGACUUAAUCGAUAAUAACAAUCUCCAGAUUGGGUUCCUUCAAUAAAUAUGGGCUAUAAACACAAUGAAAUAAGUUCCCCAAAAUCUAAAAUGGAGUGCUAUCAAAGGAGAAUUAAAGGAAAAAAUAUUCAUAUUGAAAUUAUUUAUAAGGCACUGGACUGUCUUAAAUUCUACAAUAAUACUAGAAUCAGCUGAGAGAAGUGGUCUACAAAAAACCAGGAAGGAAACGGAAUAUGUGGCUAUGAAAGGCAAAAGAAAGGUUUACAAAGCAAAUGUGACACAUUUUUUUGAAAUAUUUAGGAAUAUCAGUAAAUUGCAUUAAAAAAUGUAUGAAAAGAUUUUGUUCAAUAAAAAUGUUUAUAUUUA
rnacentral:lncRNA from 1 species